rnacentral:lncRNA from 1 species
AAAGCCCUCCUCACACCCUACUUUAAUGCAUCAAAUGAGUGGAUAAGGAUGAUUGGUUGGCCAUUCAAAUUCAAAAUAAAGUUUGAAUUUGAAUGAGCAACCAAUCUUAGCGCCUUGACCUUAUCCUCUUUUAGUGCCCCAUUUAUUACAUGAGAAAAUAUUUCUCAUGAAAUCACUCACGCACAAAUUAAACCAUGCCCUCUUCUUCUCACUCCCUUAGUGGAUAGGCAUAAAUUAGUUUCCAUUUGAAUUCAAAAUUUGAUUUGAAUUCAAAUGUGCAAUUACUCAUCUUUAUCCUCUCACAUGGAUAAGACCUUGGUUGUUGUUUUAAAAGGAGGAGAAGAGUGGGGCGUGUGCAAGAAAAAUUUUGGAGAGAAAAUCUGGGUGUGAGGAAU